UGACAUAUAACCAUCAGAGUAUUUUAUUCUCAAAUUCACAAAAACGAUAAACCAGAAGAUUAAAGCUAGAAGAGAUUAGUGGUUAUUGGUAUAUUUAACAGAAUUCAGAUUAAAAGGCUUACAUUUGUAUGAGAAUUAUUGUUUCUCAAGAUUUCGGAAUUCUAUUUAUGUAACCAAAACAAUUAGAAUAAUUCAGAUACUGCCUGUGUAAGUUUACGGCCAAGGUUUCCCUCAAUUUCCCUCUAAACUGGAUAUGUAGUCUUGCUCUUCACCUGCUUCCCCGGAGUCUCCAACUAUGUAAGUAAUUCUCAGAUAAUUGUCUCUCAGUCAUUUUCAGUCAUAGGAACAUGUCAUUUCAGGAAUUCAAAUUCCUAAAUCCAUAUACUAACAAAAUUUUUGAAUUUUAUGCAAAGUUAAAGUUUUUCUUUUUCCUUUGGCUCCAACUGAACUCAGAUGAGAAAAUCAGCACAGAAAAAGGUAGUGUAGAUGACUUCUCUCUUUGUCUCAGGAGAGAAUCUCAGGGAGUUCUUGCAUACAUCCCUACAGAGCCCUGCAACUGCAGCUCCUGACAUGGGUCAUGAACCUGCACUUGUGUGUUGUGUGGUUUGGAUUCUGCCUCACCCUCAAACCAGGUGUCUCAUAUUUUCUGUUAGAGCUCUGUAUCCCACCCAUCACUCUUCAUGCAUGGCAGCUGUCUAAGUAUGCUAUUGCUGCUGUGACAAAUAAGCACAAAUUUAGUGGAUAAAAACAACAAAAAUUCUUCUCUUACAGUUUUAGAGGGUUGGAGUCUGAAAAGUCUUAUGGAGCUAAUACCAAGGUUGCAGCAGGGCUGAAUCUGUUCGUCUCCUCACCCAGCUUCUCAUGUCUGCCAGCAUUCCCUCACUUGUGGUUUUGUCAUUCCAGCUUCUGCUCCCAUGAUUGCACUGCCUCCUCCUUUUCUCUCCUCAAAUCUCCCUCUGCAUCCGUUUUGUAAGGAUACUUGGGAUACAUUUUAAGCCUACUCUGAUAAUCCAAAAUAAUCCUUCAAUCUCGAGAUCCUCAAUCUCUUCUCACUUAUGCUAUGUAUUUUUUGCCCUAUAAGGUAGCAUUCACAGCUUCCAAUGAUUAUGACCUGGAUAUACUGGGCGCCAUUAUUCAGCCUACUACAGAAUCUAGGAUGAGUCCAGGUUAUUCCCUGCUCUCAUUUGGACACCUUUUACCCACAAUAAACAUUCACACAUAGUUUAUUUCAUAUGGAUGUGCAGUGGGUUCCCAGUGGAUCUUUCACAACUCUACCACUACAGACUUCUGGAAGCAUGAUUCUCAACACCUGUUUUUCAAACCACACCUCACCUCCAUUCUCCACGCUCUUUUGCUGCAUUUUGUGCAGCUGAAUUCUAACAACUGCAUCACACAGUCUUCCUCACCCUCUGACUUCUGUCUGUUUUCAACCACUGGGAGACAUUGGUAGGAGAAGAGAAGCUAGGAGAAGAAAGUGGAAAAAUUACAUAAUUCUCUAGCUCCUUCCUCAUUUUCAGGUCCUGGAAAUGGCUAGAAUCUGUCCCGAACUCUUGGCAUCUUCUGAUACUCAACAAUGGAGAAUGGCAUGAACGUCAUCCUGCUGCCCUACACAAUAUUGUCUAGACUAUGGGUAGCUAAAAAAUCUAUUUGCAAUUAAUAGUAAAAAAAUAAAAACUAGGUUCUGAUUAAGUAUUCUGCUGUAUUUUGCUAGAAUAUUGGCUACUUAAAUGUUUUCCAUAUAAUUAUUCAAUAAAUAUUUAUUCUGAUAUGGCCCAUCUCCAUUCUGAUAUACCCCGUGUUGAAUUUUUUCUUCAGAAAGGAAAAGAGAUUUUUCUCCUUCAUUUAAUCCAGUGAUUAUUUUUCAUUUAAACAUCAGGCAUCUGGUUAAUAUACUGUAGGUGUGCAAAAAGUGUCACUGACACAUCCUUUCAUGGUGCGUUCCUCUGUACAAACACUUCCAACCACAGUGUUGCUAGCCCUUGAAAGGACAUUUAGCACCUAGACCACUGAUGUUAUUGUAAUGAUUCUCGGUAAUUCUAACUUGGGUCAUGAGAAAGGAGAAAGACAUUUCUGAUGAAAAAUAAUAAAAUUCUACUGCAAGAGAUGUUGAAAGUCAAAUCUGUGUAUCUGGCCCAGAAGCAGUAGGUUUCGCUUAACAGAGGAGAAGGAAAUCAAAACUGAGAUUUGCAAGCCUGGAUGUGGGUGACCGCUAUUAACUAUCACAUUAGCAUCGUUAUCAUUUGGACAAGCAUGACCACAGGUAACAACAUUAGCUUCAGAAUCAUGAAAGGAUUUUUUGUUGGAAGAGGAAAGAGGGAGGAAUGUAGAGACAGGUAAUAAUGUGAAAUAACAUGAGCCAGGAAAAAUUUUGAUGCAAUGAGAAUAAGAAAUAAUGUGAGGAUGGAAAAAUUAUUGAUACAAGUUAUACAUAAGAUUAUAUAAGUGUUAUAAUCAUGUUCUGAACAUGCAUUCUUUGAGAUUUUGUCUCAAUUGGAUGUAUUUAGGUAACGUAAUUUGUAAACAGAAAUAAUGGGCAAGUGCAUGCACAUAAAGAAAACUCCUGAAUAUCUGUCAUACUGCCCGUUUAUAUAAAUCAGAAUCCUUCACAAUCUUGAACUCAUUCUGCUUAGAAAAAUAAAAUGUGAUUUGAUAAUAAGAUUUCCAGAAAACACAUUCAGGCAUUUAUAUUAGAGAAACAGGAAGCUAGACCAUUUUAAAAAUCAUUUUUCUUAAAUUGUAAGUGACUAAAGCAUCCAUGAAUACUAUGCAGCCAUAUAAAACAAUGAGAUCAUGUCUCUGC
ensembl:lncRNA